rnacentral:lncRNA from 1 species
GAAUAAGCUCAUUUUUGCUGCUUCACGUUUUUAGCAUUUUUUUCACCCAAAACUGUGAAAAUAAGCUGUUUUUAAGUGUUUACCAAACACAUUUUUUAGCUCAGCUGUUUUUUGAUACCCACUUUUUAUAAAAGCACCUCAGUACCAAACCAGUACUUAUAGAAAUGUUUCAAAGCCGCUUCUGCUGCGUGUGGAUUUUAGAUACUUUAUAUCAUCUCUAGGGGUAAGAUUCAUGUUGAUUUGUUGGAGUAUAUAGGCACUAAACUAUUUUCCCUGUGAUGAUUCUUGUCAACAGAUAUUCAGUACUUUCUUGCAUACCGAGUAUGGUGGUCCUGGGACACUCUUGGUGGUUCCAUUCAUUGACAUGGCUGAUACUCUAAAUGAACGGGGAUUACCUGGAGGCCCCCAAGCAGCUCGUGCGGCAAUCAAAUGGGCGCAAAAUCAUGUCGACAAGGACUGGAACGAAUGGACUGGUGGUGAUGAAAGUUAACAGGAAGCUCAAGCUCGUGUUAUGCAAGGUUGUUUCGUUGUAGUUUGCUAGUUUAAGGAUAGGUUAUGGAGUUGAUCAAGCAGUUUUGGUAUCUGUUGUGCUUGUAAAACCGAUGGCAAGGGAAAUUUGGAAGUGUAUUAGUUGCUUUUGUUGUAACAUUAUGCUGUGAAUCUGUUCCUGGUCUAUCAAUAAAAAGCUGUUCCUUCUUCCUUAUGGUCCGGUCAUCUUCUAUCAUUCGGUGGUGAAAUUCGCAUAUUUGUUUUGAAUGUUUUUCGUAAAUCCAAAGGCUUAAUCCAGUUUAAUCGAAAUCAUCUUUCUCCCCAAAUGAAUUCACUCGCUGAUUUGUUCUCGUUGGAAAACUUCGGCCUAUCUUGGAUAAACUCCUCAAGAAACGGAGAAUGCGGUGGCGUAAGGCCUGCUGGAACCCGACUCUAGCCUCGGAUUUCAGGUUGAUUCUUGAGCCACUCUCACUUAAUGGCGUGCAAAGACCUUAGUCAUGAUUAAUUUUUGGUAUCACCAGUUGUAUACAAUCAUGUUUAUCUUUGUCAACCACCAAUAGUUCCUCUAUUGGACGAACUCAUGGUAAAGGGUCUGAAAAGAUAAAACAAAGAAUAAAACAAUUUGCAAUGGAGUCCCACAUCGAUUAGGAGAAGCACACCAACCAUCCAAGACGUAUUACAUAAUGCUUCUCCAGCUGACAGUUAUAAUCACGGAGCCGUGCGGUGAGCACAAAGCGAACUAUUCUUUCGCCUUUUACUAAAGAAUACCGUGUGUGCACCGCUAAUAUCGGCAUACGCCUAUUUUUUAAAGGGUACUUUAACUUUGAAGUGCCCUGCAAAUUACAGUCUAGUGUUUGUUUCUAAAAUGCGACUGGUGUAAUGUGGCAUGAUUCUCUCCAGUUAUCCAUGUAUGUCUGGAGUAAUGGUAUUUUAAGAUAGUAUUUUGAAGAUUCGUUUGGAAGUGUUUUCAACACAGGUGUAAGCAAGCAUAUAGAAAGUACUUCAAGUGCUUUUGGAACCCAAGAUCAUUUUCUUUAAAAGCGUUUUCAUUUAUUUUAAAAGCACUUUCAAAUGAGCCUAUAUUUGUUCCGAAAUUGUUUGGAACAUUUGGAUUUUGCUCUGAGUGGAUGUCGAAUUUUAUUUGAGUGUACCAAAGUUGGAAAUUAUGAGAUCGGAGUUGGUCCUAAACCCUGAACUGGCUGUGACUGUAGAACCAUUUGCUGCUGUUGAGGGGCUUUGCUAAUGAACAUUAGGUUAAGAGUGAAUUCUUCCUUUUAAUUCAAACGCCUACAUGACAAUACGUUAUUAGUUUGGCAGCCACAUUAGCGUCCAGAAUGUAGUCAACGCAGAAUUACGAAUAAUAUAUCAUAUUAAGACAAUGCUACUCAGUUUGACACUUCCCCAAAAGCACUUGAGUGAAACCAGUAACACAUUCAUAGAUACUUUAUAUCAUCUCUAGGGGUAAGAUUCCUGUUGAUUUGUUGGGGUAUAUAGGCACUAAACUAUUUUCCCUGUGAUGAUUCUUGUCAACAGAUAUUCAGUACUUUCUUGCAUACCGAGUAUGGUGGUCCUGGGACACUCUUGGUGGUUCCGUUCAUUGACAUGGCUGAUACUCUAAAUGAACGGGGAUUACCUGGAGGCCCCCAAGCAGCUCGUGCGGCAAUCAAAUGGGCGCAAAAUCAUGUCGACAAGGACUGGAACGAAUGGACUGGUGGUGAUGAAAGUUAACAGGAAGCUCAAGCUCGUGUUAUGCAAGGUUGUUUCGUUGUAGUUUGCUAGUUUAAGGAUAGGUUAUGGAGUUGAUCAAGCAGUUUUGGUAUCUGUUGUGCUUGUAAAACCGAUGGCAAGGGAAAUUUGGAAGUGUAUUAGUUGCUUUUGUUGUAACAUUAUGCUGUGAAUCUGUUCCUGAGGUCUAUCAAUGAAAAGCUGUUCCUUCUUCCUUA